rnacentral:Y_RNA from 1 species
GGCUGGUCCAAAGGUAGUGAGUUAUCUCACUUGGUUGUUCACAGGCAGUUACAGUUGAACUCCUGUUCUACUACUUUCCCCUGCCUCACUGCUGCCCUUGACUAGUCUAAA